rnacentral:rRNA from 1 species
AUGAACGUUGGCGGCGUGACUAAGGCAUGCAAGUCGAAUGGUUCGCAAGAACCAUGGCAAACGGGUGCGUAACACAUUGGUAAUUUACCCUUAACUCGGGCAUAACUCGCCGAAAGGCAAGAUAAUUCCCGAUGGCCAUGGGGGGUCUUUAAGACAUUCCCAUGUAAAGAUUUAUCGGUUAAGGAAAAGCCUAUGGCCCAUCAGCUAGUUGGUAGGGUAAUGGCCUACCAAGGCAACGACGGGUAGCGGGUGUGAGAGCACGACCCGCCUCACUGGGACUGAGACACUGCCCAGACUCCUACGGGAGGCUGCAGUCAUGAAUAUUCCGCAAUGGCCGCAAGGCUGACGGAGCGACGCCGCGUGCAGGAAGACGCCCUUCGGGGUGUAAACUGCUUUUUUCUGGGAAGAAAUUUUGACGGUACCAGAAGAAUAAGCCACUGCUAACCUCGU